rnacentral:rRNA from 1 species
AACGAACGCUGGCGGCAGGCCUAACACAUGCAAGUCGAGCGAGGACUUCGGUUCUAGCGGCGGACGGGUGAGUAACGCGUGGGAAUGUGCCCUUCUCUACGGAAUAGCCCUGGGAAACUGGGAGUAAUACCGUAUACGCCCUAUUGGGGAAAGAUUUAUCGGAGAAGGAUCAGCCCGCGUUGGAUUAGGUAGUUGGUGGGGUAAUGGCCUACCAAGCCGACGAUCCAUAGCUGGUUUGAGAGGAUGAUCAGCCACACUGGGACUGAGACACGGCCCAGACUCCUACGGGAGGCAGCAGUGGGGAAUCUUAGACAAUGGGGGCAACCCUGAUCUAGCCAUGCCGCGUGAGUGAUGGAGGCCUUAGGGUUGUAAAGCUCUUUCAGCUGGGAAGAUAAUGACGGUACCAGCAGAAGAAGCCCCGGCUAACUCCGUG